CGGGACCCCAGGUCAGGC
rnacentral:rRNA from 1 species